GAUGAACGCUGGCGGCGUGCCUAAUACAUGCGAGUCGAGCGAACAGACGAGGAGCUUGCUCCUCUGACGUUAGCGGCGAACGGGUGAGUAACACGUGGAUAACCUACCUAUAAGACUGGGAUAACUUCGGGAAACCGGAGCUAAUACCGGAUAAUAUAUUGAACCGCAUGGUUCAAUAGUGAAAGACGGUUUUGCUGUCACUUAUAGAUGGAUCCGCGCCGCAUUAGCUAGUUGGUAAGGUAACGGCUUACCAAGGCAACGAUGCGUAGCCGACCUGAGAGGGUGAUCGGCCACACUGGAACUGAGACACGGUCCAGACUCCUACGGGAGGCAGCAGUAGGGAAUCUUCCGCAAUGGGCGAAAGCCUGACGGAGCAACGCCGCGUGAGUGAUGAAGGUCUUCGGAUCGUAAAACUCUGUUAUUAGGGAAGAACAAAUGUGUAAGUAACUAUGCACGUCUUGACGGUACCUAAUCAGAAAGCCACGGCUAACUACGCG
rnacentral:rRNA from 1 species